GGCUACCUGGCUCAAUUGGAUAGAGCGUCAGACACUUAAUCUGAAGGUUGCGAGUUCGACUCUCGCGGUGGGUU